CUGCAUAACAGCUACGAGGAA
rnacentral:siRNA from 1 species